rnacentral:rRNA from 1 species
UACGUAGGGUGCGAGCGUUGUCCGGAAUUAUUGGGCGUAAGGAGCUCGUAGGCGGUUUGUCGCGUCUGCUGUGAAAACCUAAGGCUCAACCUUGGGCUUGCAGUGGGUACGGGCAGACUAGAGUGCGGUAGGGGUGACUGGAAUUCCUGGUGUAGCGGUGGAAUGCGCAGAUAUCAGGAGGAACACCGAUGGCGAAGGCAGGUCACUGGGCCGCAACUGACGCUGGAGGAGCG